rnacentral:rRNA from 1 species
UGGGGAAUAUUGCGCAAUGGGCGAAAGCCUGACGCAGCGACGCCGCGUGAGUGAUGAAGGUUUUCGGAUCGUAAACCUCUGUCAGAAGGGAAGAAACCGCACUGUGCUAAUCAGCAGUGCCUUGACGGUACCUUCAAAGGAAGCACCGGCUAACUCCGUGCCAGCAGCCGCGGUAAUACGGAGGGUGCAAGCGUUAAUCGGAAUUACUGGGCGUAAAGCGCACGUAGGCUGCUUUGUAAGUCAGGGGUGAAAUCCCACGGCUCAACCGUGGAACUGCCUUUGAUACUGCUUAGCUUGAAUCCGGGAGAGGGUGGCGGAAUUCCAGGUGUAGGAGUGAAAUCCGUAGAUAUCUGGAGGAACAUCAGUGGCGAAGGCGGCCACCUGGACCGGUAUUGACGCUGAGGUGCGAAAGCGUGGGGAGCAAACAGG